UACAGAGGUCUCAAGCGUUGUUCGGAUUCAUUGGGCGUAAAGGGUGCGUAGGUGGCGCCGUAAGUCGGGUGUGAAAUCCUGAGGCUUAACCUCAGAACUGCAUUCGAUACUGCGGUGCUUGAGGACUGGAGAGGAGACUGGAAUUCAUGGUGUAGCAGUGAAAUGCGUAGAGAUCAUGAGGAAGACCAGUGGCGAAGGCGGGUCUCUGGACAGUUCCUGACGCUGAGGCGCGAAAGCGUGGGGAGCAAACGGG
rnacentral:rRNA from 1 species